rnacentral:rRNA from 1 species
AUUGAACGCUGGCGGCAGGCCUAACACAUGCAAGUCGAACGGUAACAGGAAGCAGCUUGCUGCUUCGCUGACGAGUGGCGGACGGGUGUGACAUGUCUGUGAAGCUGCCUGAUGGAGGGGGAUAACUACUGGAAACGGUAGCUAAUACCGCAUAAUGUCGCAAGACCAAAGAGGGGGACCUUCGGGCCUCUUGCCAUCGGAUGUGCCCAGAUGGGAUUAGCUUGUUGGUGGGGUAACGGCUCACCAAGGCGACGAUCCCUAGCUGGUCUGAGAGGGUGACCAGCCACACUGGAACUGAGACACGGUCCAGACUCCUACGGGAGGCAGCAGUGGGGAAUAUUGCACAAUGGGCGCAAGCCUGAUGCAGCCAUGCCGCGUGUGUGAAGAAGGCCUUCGGGUUGUAAAGCUCUUUUAGCGGGGAAGAAGAGAGGAAAGUUAAUACAUUCACGUAUUGACGGUACCCAAAGAAGAAGCACCGGCUAACUCCGUG